GCAGAGCCGGCUGCUCCCUCCUCCCUCUGCUGCCUGAGUCACAGAAGCCCGGGAUGUGUUCAAAAUCGAGCAAUGUAAUUAGCAGGUUGCGUCAUGCCCUCGAUUAUAAAUUACAACGGGCACAAAGAGGGAGGAUGGAGGAGCGGGGAUUAUAGGGGUAACCCAAUCCUGGUGCCCGGGAGGGGGGAUGGGGGGCUGGGAGCUACCACCCAGCCACUCAGGGACCCCAGGAGCCUCUGCCUACCCUGUCACAGGGCUCAAUGCCGGCUUUGUGUAGCCCGGGAUAAUGAUUUACAAACUUCAGGAAUCAGGAGGUGCGAAAAGAAGACGACCCUCUUAACCCGGCCAUUGUCUAUCCCCUGCCGGAACGCCCAGCAUGCCGCGGGCCUGUGCACCUGUGCACACGGAUGCUGUUUGAGGAUGCUCCAGGGUGGAAGAGAGAACCCAGCCGCAUCCUGA
rnacentral:lncRNA from 1 species